AGUCCCGCUCUGCGCCUCGCAGCGCCUCUCACUCCGCAGCACACGCCAGCGCAGCGAGGCGGCGGCCGGCAGGAGCGGGGACACGCCGCCGCCGCCGCCGCCUCGGGCCCGCGGCCGGCAGCCGGCAAAGGACGGCGAGGGAGGCCGGGGGCAGCGCGGCGGGCACGGCCCCGCGGAGGAGCGUCACUGCUUAGGAAGCAGAAGUUCUUGCAGACACCACCUCCUCCUGGACUUUCCUUGUCAGAAGCGUCAGAAACCAUCCCCAGCGUGUGCUGGGGGGACUGACCUAUUGGUCCCGGAUUCCUCACUUGGAGGCGCUUUUGAGCCGAUUUGCAAAGGACUCAAACCUGUGCAAUUCAAGCCCCCCACACCGCAGCUUCCACCUCCUGAAAACCAUCCUCCUGGCAUCUCUGAAUUAGACACCCAGAGGCAGGGGUUGCUGCCUGGAAAGCUGUCCGAGCGAGGCCUUUCCUAGGGACGGCUUGCCUGGGAGCAGAAAUGCAGGAGCCGGAGCUGAGGAGCGCCCAGGCGCUUUGAUGAGGCCCCGGCUGAGCUCAGCCCCUCAUUUCCUGCUCCUUACAACUCUGUGCUUCGAUCGUCCUCGGUCUGUAUGAGACUGCAGGAAUCACCCCUGUCCCUUAAGCAGGGGAGCGGGCGCAUUUGGGAGCUAGCAUUAAAUUCAGCUUUGGAGUCU